GUGAUGCAUAUGAUGAGAUGGCAAAGUAUAGUUCAUUUGACCACGGACUUACUAUCCGUGUGCAUGAUGUUUAGUCUUUCGCCCCUAUCUGAUUCAACAC
rnacentral:snoRNA from 1 species